rnacentral:rRNA from 1 species
GCUCAGUAACACGUGGAUUAACCUUGGCCCUUGGGUUCGGCAUAACCCCGGGAAAACUUGGGGGAUAAUACCGGAUAACGCAUAUAUUGCUGGAAUUCUUUAUGCGUAAAAUGGAUUCGUCCGCCCAAGGAUGGGUCUGCGGCCUAUCAGGUAGUAGUGGGUGUAAUGUACCCACUAGCCGACGACGGGUACGGGUUGUGAGAGCAAGAGCCCGGAGAUGGAUUCUGAGACAUGAAUCCAGGCCCUACGGGGCGCAGCAGGCGCGAAAACUUUACAAUGCGGGAAACCGUGAUAAGGGGACACCGAGUGCCAGCACCAUAUGCUGGCUGUCCGGGUGUGUAAAAUACACCUGUUAGCAAGGGCCGGGCAAGACCGGUGCCAGCCGCCGCGGUAACACCGGCGGCCCGAGUGGUGAUCGUGUUUAUUGGGUCUAAAGGGUCCGUAGCCGGUUUGGUCAGUCCUCCGGGAAAUCUGACGGCUUAACCGUUAGGCUUUCGGGGGAUACUGCCAGACUUGGAACCGGGAGAGGUAAGAGGUACUACAGGGGUAGGAGUGAAAUCUUGUAAUCCCUGUGGGACCACCUGUGGCGAAGGCGUCUUACCAGAACGGGUUCGACGGUGAGGGACGAAAGCUGGGGGCACGAACCGGAUUAGAUACCCGGGUAGUCCCAGCCGUAAACGAUGCUCGCUAGGUGUCAGGCAUGGCGCGACCGUGUCUGGUGCCGCAGGGAAGCCGUGAAGCGAGCCACCUGGGAAGUACGGCCGCA